rnacentral:lncRNA from 1 species
GGAAUUCGCGCCAUUGUAGUUUUUGUUGAAAGAGUGCCCUUCCUUUUCGGAUAGAUUUUGAUAUUUUCCAAAGGUGAGCAUUCUUUGCCCUAGAGAAGCCAAUCAGAGAUGGCAUCAAUCAGUCCGCCUGGCACACGGUCAUCCACGUCUACCCCUGACAGAACCGCCAGCAAGCCACCCUUUGACCUCAAACGGAAGGUCAAAUCGGAGUACAUGAGGUUGCGCCAGCUCAAAAGGUUCAAGAGAGCAGAUACUGUCAGAACCCUUUGGUGCUGUAAUCGUGCAUGUAUAGCAGAGAGCACUCAACGCAACAGCUGCACUUGGCGUGAAGGUCCAUUCCAAUCCAUUCACACCGUAGCUUCGUUUGACCAACUGCCAGUUAUC